CUGCGCUGGCGUCUCAGGCUCCGGGCCCUGUGGCCCCGGCUCUUUUGUUUCCCGGCUGGAGUCGGAGCUGGACACGGUGCCGUAGACCCAGCCGGAGCCGGGGUUGUCUCGAAUUAGCAGCCCGGGCCAGGAGCGCCCUGAGUGGCCCGUGGGGCAGGCAGCGGGUCGGCCUGCCCAAUGGGGCGCGGCCCCCGCCCGCCGCCCCCGGCCGGUGCCGCCGCCUGAGCGCGCCCGCCGCCCGCCAUGGAGCCCGGCCGCGGCGGCCUGGAGGCCGUGGGCAAAUUCGAAUUCUCGCGCAAGGACCUGAUCGGACACGGGGCCUUCGCGGUUGUCUUCAAGGGGCGCCACCGCGAGAAGCACGACCUGGAGGUCGCGGUAAAGUGUAUUAACAAAAAGAACCUGGCCAAGUCCCAGACUCUGCUGGGGAAGGAGAUCAAGAUCCUCAAGGAAUUGAAACAUGAAAAUAUCGUGGCUUUGUAUGACUUCCAGGAAAUGGCCAAUUCCGUCUACCUGGUCAUGGAGUACUGUAACGGCGGGGACCUGGCUGACUAUCUGCACAACAUGCGGACGCUGAGCGAGGACACCAUCCGGCUCUUCCUGCAGCAGAUUGCAGGUGCCAUGCGGCUGCUGCACAGCAAGGGCAUCAUCCACCGUGACCUGAAGCCUCAGAACAUUCUGCUGUCCAACCCUGGUGGGCGCCGCGCCAACCCCAACAACAUCCGUGUCAAGAUCGCUGACUUCGGCUUCGCUCGGUACCUCCAGAGCAACAUGAUGGCAGCCACACUCUGCGGAUCCCCCAUGUACAUGGCCCCCGAAGUCAUCAUGUCCCAGCACUACGAUGGGAAGGCGGACCUGUGGAGCAUUGGCACCAUCGUAUACCAGUGCCUGACUGGGAGGGCACCCUUCCAGGCCAGCAGCCCCCAGGACCUCCGCCUCUUCUAUGAGAGGAACAAGACACUGGUGCCCACCAUCCCCCGGGAGACCUCAGCCCCACUGAGACAGCUCCUCCUGGCUCUGCUGCAGCGCAACCACAAAGACCGCAUGGACUUUGAUGAGUUUUUCCAUCACCCUUUCCUUGAUGCCAGCGCCACGGUGAAGAAGUCCCCACCGGUGCCUGUGCCCUCCUAUCCGAGCUCGGGCUCUGGCAGCAGUUCCAGCAGCAGCUCCACCUCGCAUCUGGCCUCCCCACCGUCGCUGGGGGACAUGCAGCGGCAGCUCCAGAAGACGCUGACCUCCCCGGCCGAUGCUGCCGGCUUCCUGCAGGGCUCCCGGGAGUCCGGUGGCAGCAGCAAGGACUCGUCCUGCGACACGGAUGACUUCGUCAUGGUCCCAGCCCAGUUUCCAGGUGACUUGGUGGCUGAGGUAGCUGGUGCCAAGCCCCCAGUUGACAGCCUGAUGUGCAGCGGGAGCUCACUGGUGGCCUCAGCUGGCCUGGAGAGCCAUGGCCGGACACCAUCGCCUUCCCCGCCCUGCAGCAGCUCCCCCAGCCCCUCAGGGUGUUCUGAGCAUGGUGCUCAUCCCAGUGCCCCAGCUCCAAUGACCCCCAGCUUCUCUGCCCACCACAGCCGGGCUGGCCCAUUCUCCAGCAGCAGGUGUGGCGUAUCCGUUCCCAUCCCAGUCCCCACUCAGGUGCAGAACUACCAGCGCAUUGAGCAGAACCUACAGUCACCCACCCAGUUCCAGACCCCACGGUCUUCUGCCAUCCGCAGGUCAGGCAGCACCAGCCCCCUGAGCUUUGCACGGGCUAGUCCUUCGCCCCCAUCCCACACUGAGCACGGAGCUGCUCUGGCCAGGAAGCUCUCCCUUGGUGGGGGCCGGCCCCACACACCGUCUCCACAAGUUGGAACCAUCCCUGAGCGGCCAGGCUGGAGUGCAGUGCCCUCCCUGCAGGGAGCUGAGAUGCGGGGUGGCCGGUCCCCUCGCCCAGGCUCCUCUGUGCCUGAGCACUCUGCUCACACCACUGGCCUUGGCUGCCGCCUGCACAGCGCUCCCAACCUGUCUGACCUGCAUGUCGUCCACCCCAAGCUGCCCAAGCCUCCCACUGACCCACUGGGGACAGCAUUUGGCCUCCCACAGGCCAGCCCCCCACAGCCAUCCCGUGGGCUGCAGUCCUUCCGGCCGCUGCGUGGCUCGCCCAAGUUGCCUGACUUCCUGCAGCGGACCCCCCUACCCCCAAUCCUGGGGUCCCCCACCAAGGCUAUGCCUGCCUUCGACUUCCCCAAGACCCCCAGCUCCCAGAACUUGCUGACCCUACUGGCCCGGCAGGGUGUGGUCAUGACGCCACCUCGGAACCGGACACUGCCUGACCUCUCAGAGGCAGGGCCUUUCCAGGGGCAGCAACUGGGCCCUGGUCUGCAGCCCACUGAGGAUACCAAGGGCCCCUUUGGCAGGUCCCUCAGUACCGGCCGUCUCACUGAUCUACUCCUUAAGGCUGCAUUUGGGACACAGGCCCCAGACUCAGGCAGCACAGACAGCCUGCAGGAGAAGCCCAUGGAGAUCACGCCCUCUGCGGGCCUUGGAGGGAACCUGCACCCAGGAGCCUGUGCAGGGAGGGCCAGCAGCCCGUCACCUGUGGUGUUCACCGUGGGAUCACCCCCGAGUGGGACCACACCACCCCAGGGCCUGAGAACCAGGAUGUUCUCAGUGGGCUCCUCAAGCUCUCUCAGCUCGGCUGGCUCCUCCUCUGCCCGCCACCUGGUACCUGGGGCUUGCAGUGAGGCCACCCCAGAGGUCCCAGCCCCGAGCCAUUGCUGCAGCUUGGCCGACCCCGUUGCCGCCAACCUGCAGGGAGCCGUGACCUUCGAGGCCCCUGACCUUCCCGAGGAGACCCUCAUGGAGCAAGAGCACACAGAGAUCCUGCAUAGCCUGCGCUUCACCCUCAUCUUCGUCCAGCACAUCCUGGAGAUUGUGGCCCUGAAGGGCAGUGCCAGUGAGACAGCUGGGGGGUCCGAGUACCUGCUGCAGGAGAGCGUGGUGGCCGACCAGAUCAGCCUGCUGAGCCGCGAGUGGGGCUUCGCGGAGCAGCUGGUGCUCUACCUGAAGGUGGCUGAGCUGCUCUCCUCAGGCUUGCAGACUGCCAUCAACCAGAUCCGGGCUGGCAAGCUCUGCCUGUCGUCCACAGUGAAGCAGGUGGUGCGGCGGUUAAAUGAGCUGUACAAGGCCAGUGUGGUGUCCUGCCAGGGCCUGAGCCUGCGGCUGCAGCGCUUCCUCUUAGACAAGCAGCGGCUGCUGGGCCGCAUCCAGAAUGCCACUGCAGAGCAGCUCAUCUUCAGCCACGCAGUGCAGACGUGUGAGGGCCACAUGCAGAUGUGCGGGUGGUCGACCCAGGGCUCCCUGUCCGUGGUGGCGGGGGCAGCCGGGCCCAGCCUCUGCCUCACUGGAGCAGGUACAGUCGGCUGCUCUAGAUGAGAUGUUCCACCGUCGUGAGGACUGUGUUCAGCGCUACCACAAAGCCCUGCUGCUCAUGGAGGGGCUGCAGCAGAUCCUUACGGACCAGGCAGAUGUGGAGAACAUUGCCAAAUGCAAGCUGUGCAUCGAGCGGAGACUCUCAGCCCUGUUGAGCGGCAUUGGUGCCUAACCUCUCAGAGCCCUGGCCCUUGAGCCCUUCCCUGCCAAUCCAAAAGGGCGGUGUGGUGUGCUGGCCGGGCCCCCAGGGGCAAGCCCACAGCCUUGGCACUGCUUCUGGUGCCAGGAAAGGACUGAGCUUCCCACCCAGCAUCCAGAGCCAGGCCUCCAGCUGCUUCUCCUCCUGGGCUCCUGCAGUAGACUUCGGGGCACCGGAGGGUCCCCCAACAGAACCCCAACCUGGGCUCGUUCCCCAGGUUGCUGGGGUCAGAGAUUCCAGCCGACAUGCAGAACUCACCCAGCUGAGUGGAUGGCAGGUGGGGACGCAUGGGCAUCCCCCACCCCAGCCAGAACCGAGGUCAGCCUUGCUGCCUGCUGUUGAGCUGAGGACAAGCAGAGGCCCCGAGAUGGGUGCCCACACAAGCCAAAGCUGCCAGCCCUGCCCAGGGGCUCCACCAGGAAAAAGUGUGGCCUUUUGGCUCCCCUUCCCCAAAACCACCCAUCCAGCUUUGUGAAUCACCAAGCACUUUAUGCAGGCAGACGUGGACUGGGCCGCAGCUCAGUCCCGGCUGUUGCACUACAAGGCGUGUACAUAUCAUAUACAUGUAUACAUAUAUAAAUAGUCCUAGCGUGUGUGAGCGUGUGUGCUGUGCGUGCCACCCCAGACCUUGGGGAGACACAGCCAUCUUAUUUAAGUCUUCUAGGGAUGGACAGUAGGAAGCAGCUUUGUAAACCAAGCACACGUUGCAGCCUGUCACACUUAUGAAUCUGUAGCUUUCUUCUUUUUUUUUUAAGAAGAAAACUUGCAGAGUUCAGGGCCUUUUGAUUUGGGUCAGGUCAGGACAGGGUGGGGCCUCAGCACCUCGGAGGCUGUCAUGGGAGACGGGUGGUGCUGUUAGGGCAGUCCUGCCCUGCUGCCCCCCACCUCCGGUGAUGGCGGGCAGAUGAGGGGGCAUUUGUGGAAAAGCCUCCCCCACAGCAUUCACAGUAGGUUUGGAUGUCAGUGGGUGUCCCAGGCAGGUCCUAGCUAACAUCAAGGGGGUCUGUGGGGAGCCAAGCCUUCCAGGUGCAAGGGGCCUUCCCUGUCCACCCAGCGCUGACUUGGCCCCUUGAACGUGUCCCCAAGGUGCAGGAGAAGCCCCUGGCCAGUCCAGGCAUCCCUGGUAAGGGGUUCAGGGUCUUAGACCACAGGCAUGAAGAUCUGUACAUGUCUGUCACAUUUGGAGUAUUAUCACUGUGCUUGGACUUAGAAGUUGCCCAGGACCUGUUUCUUUCCUCAUCACCUAGUGACUAUUUUUUCCUUGCUACACGGAAUGUGUUCCUGUUUAUUGCAUAUGGUUGGCUGGAAUCCAGGGCUGCCGGGAGGCUGGCGCCAUGGGCAGCUUCCCAUGCCCGUUCUGUGGUGCCAUGUGCCCAAGCCACCAGCUGACCCCAUUCUUCACAACACUGCACUUGACCCUUGUUAUACCUGAAAAGGAAUUUUGUGUGAUUUUCUCUCCAUUUGCAUUAUUGUGUAAUCCUGAUUUAAGGAAAUAAACCUUUGGAAUUGUU